UAAUUUCUGUUUCAGAAUCAAGCGAUCGACAAGCUAGCAAUGGCUGCAGAGAAGAAGACGAGUCAUCAGAAAGCAUUCGGCUGGGCAGCCCGAGACACCUCCGGCAUCCUUUCUCCCUUCAACUUCACCAGAAGAGCCACCGAAGAAUCUGAUGUGAGAAUUAAAAUACUCUACUGCGGAAUUUGCCACAGUGAUCUCCAUCUGACCAAAAGCGACAUCGACUUCCCCAUUACGUAUCCUCUUGUUCCAGGGCAUGAGAUCGUGGGUGA